rnacentral:rRNA from 1 species
AUGCAUUGGUUUGCAUGGUGGAAGUUAUGCAUCCCGAAGAGUAAGGGUGGAUUGGGGUUUAGGGACCUGCACAGUUUUAAUCUUGCUUUACUAGCAAAAUAGUGUUGGCGCUUACUCCAGAAUCCCGAAUCUUUGUGUGCAUGAGUUCUAGGUGCAAAGUACUACCCUGAUGGAAAUAUGCUCAUGGCGGGACCAAAAAAGGGCUCUUCUUUUACUUGGCAAAGUAUUGUAUCGGGUAUACAAACUUUUAAGAGAGGUUGCAUUUGGCGGGUGGGUACGGGUUCACAGAUUAAUAUCUGGAAUGAUCCUUGGAUCCCAAUUAGUGAAACAAGGAAAAUUAUAACUCCAAGGGGAGCUACUAUGUUGAGCAAGGUUGAGGAAUUGAUUGAUCCAUAUACUGGGCGGUGGGAUGAGAGUUUGAUCCGAGAUGUUUUCUGGCAAGUUGAUGCACAUAGAAUCUUGCAAAUACCUCUGAGUCAGGUGAUGGAAGACUUUGUAUCAUGGCACUAUAACCGAUCGGGUGUUUUCAAUGUGCGAUCAGCCUAUCAUGUACAACUCCAACACCAAUUUGGAGGCAGGGAGAACCUAAGUGCAGCACAAGGUAGCCGCCCAAAUGAUAUAUGGAAACGUGUGUGGGGACUGAGAAUUCCUGGCAAAGUUAAACACUUCGUGUGGAAGGUGAUUAGGGGAGUUUUACCAUGCUAUGGUACCCUUGCAAACCGCCAUAUUCCAGUUAUGGGACAAUGCCCAAUAUGCACAACAGGAUAUGAGGAUUCGCAACACUGUUUAUUCACAUGUAAGAGGGCGAAGGAUAUAUGGAAGGAUCUGGGACUCGAGACUGAAGUUCUGCAAGCUGUUGCGGAGGACCGGUCAGGCGCAUCCACUCUGGCUACUCUCUUAGAGCGUCAAGUUUCAAAAAACGACCUAUCUGUGGCCGAAUUAGCUGCAGUGGCAAGCUGGUAUAUUUGGUGGCAACGACGACAAAUUGUUAAAGGCGAGAUAGUCCGACAGCCGCACCAAACCUCCAUUGCAAUAUGA